rnacentral:tRNA from 1 species
UCCCAGGUGGCUCAGAGGUUAAAGUGUCUGCCUGCAAUGCGGGAGGCCCGGGUUUGAUCCCUGGGUCGGGAA